AUCAGCCUUUCGGGUGUGAUUCUGUGGAGCGUGAGGAGUUAAACGCCUUCAUGCCUGCAUAUUCCUGGACUUUGGGUGUACUUGCCCGUGUGGUUGGUUAACAUCAAUUUUGGUGGUCAUAAAAUGACUGGAGGAAUGUAGCUUCCAUCUCUUAUUGAAGUGUUAUAGCCUUCGGUAGAUGUGAUGAUCGAGAUUGAGGAUUGCAACGGAUACCCUUCGGGGCUACCUGUCUGGUCUCUGAUCGUUGCUCUGGUGCCAAAAGCUUGCUUACGGUUAUCAAAGUCAAUGGUCAAUAGGUUAAAACGGGUUAAAUUUGUUAAGGAUGUUGACGUAAUGGUUUU
rnacentral:rRNA from 1 species